CGCGUAGGCGGAUGACAUAGUCAGAUGUGAAAUUCCUGGGCUCAACCUGGGGACUGCAUUUGAUACGUGUUGUCUUGAGUGUGGAAGAGGGUCGUGGAAUUCCCAGUGUAGAGGUGAAAUUCGUAGAUAUUGGGAAGAACACCGGUGGCGAAGGCGGCGACCUGGUCCAUAACUGACGCUGAGGCGCGAAAGCGUGGGGAGCAAACAGGAUUAGAUACCCUGGUAGUCCACGCUGUAAACGAUGUGCGCUGGAUGUUGGGUGACCUAGUCACUCAGUGUCGUAGCUAACGCGAUAAGCGCACCGCCUGGGGAGUACGGCCGCAAGGUUGAA
rnacentral:rRNA from 1 species